AUCCAGCUGACGAGUCUCAAAUGGGACGAAACGCGCAUCCUAGAU
rfam:Schistosoma mansoni, Puerto Rico, WGS project CABG01000000 data, contig: 0041